CCUACGGGUGGCUGCAGUGGGGAAUAUUGGACAAUGGGGGGAACCCUGAUCCAGCCAUGCCGCGUGUGUGAAGAAGGCCCUCGGGUUGUAAAGCACUUUCAGUGAGGAAGAACGCCUGGUGGUUAAUACCCAUCAGGUAAGACAUCACUCACAGAAGAAGCACCGGCUAACUCCGUGCCAGCAGCCGCGGUAAUACGGAGGGUGCGAGCGUUAAUCGGAAUUACUGGGCGUAAAGCGCGCGUAGGUGGCUUGAUAAGCCGGUUGUGAAAGCCCCGGGCUCAACCUGGGAACGGCAUCCGGAACUGUCAAGCUAGAGUGCAGGAGAGGAAGGUAGAAUUCCCGGUGUAGCGGUGAAAUGCGUAGAGAUCGGGAGGAAUACCAGUGGCGAAGGCGGCCUUCUGGACUGACACUGACACUGAGGUGCGAAAGCGUGGGUAGCAAACAGGAUUAGAUACCCCAGUAGUC
rnacentral:rRNA from 1 species